rnacentral:rRNA from 1 species
GGCGUCAAUGCACACGCCAUCAUUUCGGCAGUCUGCGCUAUGUGCGAAAGCAUAUACGUGACUGUCAAGUUUACCUUAAAUAAAUUAAAAUGCUCAAAAUAAGCGUAUGCUUGAAUAUCAUAUUAUGGAAUAAUGAAAUAGGACUUCGGUUCUUUUUGUUGGUUAUUGAAUCGGAGUAAUGAUUAAUAGGGAUAAUCUCGGGGGCAUUCGUAUUUCUGCGGGAGAGGUGAAAUUCUAUGAUCGCAGAAGGACGCCCUAAAGCGAAAGCAUUUGCCAAGAAUGUCUUCGUUAAUCAAGAACGAAAGUCAGAGGAUCGAAGGCGAUUAGAUACCGCCCUAGUUCUGACCGUAAACGAUACCAUCUAGCGAUCCGAUAGGGUCUAUCUAGCCUUGUCGGGGAGCUUCCCGGAAACGAAAGUCUUUCGGUUCCGGGGGUAGUAUGGUUGCAAAGCUGAAACUUAAAGAAAUUGACGGAAGGGCACCACCAGGAGUGGAGCUUGCGGCUUAAUUUGACUCAACACGGGAAAACUCACCCGGUCCGGACACCGUAAGGAUUGACAGACUGAUAGCUCUUUCUUGAUUCGGUGGUUGGUGGUGCAUGGCCGUUCUUAGUUGGUGGAGUAAUUUGUCUGGUUUAUUCCGAUAACGAGCGAGACUCUAGCCUGCUAAAUAGAACGAGGAUAAACCUUUUCGUAGGUCCUCGAUGCUUCUUAGAGGAAUUAGCGG